CUAGAAGUCCGGGCUCUCUACCAAGACAUCGCGAGUUCGGGAGCCUCUGACCAGGACUAUUACCACAAAACCCACGCGGCUGGCGGAAAGCGGCAGGGAGGUGAUUCAAGCCAGUUCCAAUGGACUUGUGAUGGAGAGAGCUAUCAGCACCAAGAGGGAGACUGUGGGGACUGAGUGUGGAUUACAACACAGUAUUUUUUACCUUUUUUAUUGUUGUUUGCUUGUAUUUUGUUUUCUUUCUGAUCUGAUUUUUCUUGUGCAGCAUGAUAAUUGUGGAAAUUUGUAUAGAAGAAUUGCACAUGUUUAACAUAUUGUAUUACUUGCCAUCUAGGGAAAGGGGUGGAGGGAAGAAAAGGAAAAAAAUUUGGAACACAAGAUUUUGCAAUAGUGAAUGUUGAAAAUUACUUAAGCAUAUGUUUUGAAAAUAAAACUUUAAUUAAAGGGG